rnacentral:rRNA from 1 species
UAAAAGUCGUAACAAGGUUUCCGUAGGUGAACCUGCGGAAGGAUCAUUAGUGAAUAUUAGGGUGUCCAACUUAACUUGGAGCCCGACCCUCACUUUCUAACCCUGUGCAUUUGUCUUGGGUAGUAGCUCGUGUCAGCGAGCGAAUCCCAUUUCACUUACAAACACAAAGUCUAUGAAUGUAACAAAUUUAUAACAAACAAAACUUUCAACAACGGAUCUCUUGGCUCUCGCAUCGAUGAAGAACGCAGCGAAAUGCGAUACGUAAUGUGAAUUGCAGAAUUCAGUGAAUCAUCGAAUCUUUGAACGCACCUUGCGCUCCAUGGUAUUCCGUGGAGCAUGCCUGUUUGAGUGUCAUGAAUUCUUCAACCCACCUCUUUCUUAGUGAAUCAGGCGGUGUUUGGAUUCUGAGCGUUGCUGGCUUCGCGGCCUAGCUCGCUCGUAAUGCAUUAGCAUCCGCAAUCGAACUUCGGAUUGACUCGGCGUAAUAGACUAUUCGCUGAGGAUUCUGGUCUCUGACUGGAGCCGGGUAAGAUUAAAGGAAGCUACUAAUCCUCAUGUCUAUCUUUUGAGAUUAGACCUCAAAUCAGGUAGGACUACCCGCUGAACUUAAGCAUAUCAAU